rnacentral:rRNA from 1 species
UGGGGAAUUUUGGACCAUGGGGGAAACCCUGAUCCAGCCAUCCCGCGUGUGCGAUGAAGGCCUUCGGGUUGUAAAGCACUUUUGGCAGGAAAGAAACGUCAUGGGUUAAUACCCCGUGAAACUGACGGUACCUGCAGAAUAAGCACCGGCUAACUACGUGCCAGCAGCCGCGGUAAUACGUAGGGUGCAAGCGUUAAUCGGAAUUACUGGGCGUAAAGCGUGCGCAGGCGGUUCGGAAAGAAAGAUGUGAAAUCCCAGAGCUCAACUUUGGAACUGCAUUUUUAACUACCGGGCUAGAGGGUGUCAGAGGGAGGUGGAAUUCCGCGUGUAGCAGUGAAAUGCGUAGAUAUGCGGAGGAACACCGAUGGCGAAGGCAGCCUCCUGGGAUAACACUGACGCUCAUGCACGAAAGCGUGGGGAGCAAACAGG